UCUCUCUCCAGAACCUCUUCUUGGGGACCCCUCUCUGAAGCCUCUUCUUGGGAGCAGCUUUCUGGAGGAAAACGGGCAGCAUAGUUGUGCUGUUGCUGAUGGAUGGAGAUGUGGAAAUGCUUCAUGCAGGGAUCCAGGGGGUCUGCUCGCACCGUGAUGGUGACCGGCUUCCGAAUACCCAGAGACUGCCUCUUCUCUACUGUCACAACAUCAAUUUCUUCAUUCUCUGUCCGAGAAAAGAGAUCAAGAGAAGAAACACAUCCCAUGAGAAACACAAACAUAGACCCUACAGCUUUAGUGUCUAUGCUGGUGCUUGGGAAGGUCGCCUGCCCCACCUCCUUCCCUGGACUAGAAGGUUAGAUUUGUAAUCAUAGGUCGGCGAAGCUGCAGGAACUUCACAAAGGUACAAGCGACCAUUUCCAAACUACCUGCACCAGAGGCAGAGACUGGGCAGCAGAAUGUCCCAGAUAUGGGGCUCAAAACACCAGAGACCUGGAGACACCUGGACAUGCCCUUCUCAUUCACUGGCUUGAAGGUCUCUUAGGUUAACCUAACCAGGAGAGGGGCAAUUGGGAGAAAAGUCUCCUCCUGCUCCACACAUUUUGCGGCCUCCACACAGAAGUCCACCUUAAUGGAUCUCGGCCUCGCAACGGAAGAGCUCCGUUCUCAGCUUCUUUGCAUAUCAGGAAGCUUGAGCCCCUUUGUCAGGAAGGCUUCCAUUGUGUGGACAAUCGCAUUAUUUCUCCAUUAAUAAACCUGACCAUUCAGCCCUCCUGGCCCCAAA
rnacentral:antisense_RNA from 1 species